UGUGGGAACGAGGACUCUGCCGCCAAACCAGGAAUGUGGGUGUGAGGAGACAGAGCUGAAGGCGCGAGGCCGGUGAUGUGUUUCAAUAACACAAGGGGGCAGUGGUGGUACCAUCUAUCAGUGGCGUCCCGCUCCACUAACCACACAGCAGGCUUUUAUUUUGCCCACAAACGUCCAAACCACGGUCCCUUAUUGUGUCCACGGUUCUUGUCUCACAUGACCGCCCGCCCCGAGGACCUCAGGCCUCCUUGUGUCCCGAGCUCCGGGUCCAGACCGCUGCCCCCCCCUCGGGAGAAGACGGCGGUAACGCACGCCCUCGCUGCACCGAAGACACAAACGCUGGACGGUUUCUUCCGUCUCCAUCCAGACGGGAGAAGGAAAAGUGCGCCGAUGGCGGGAAGGCGCUCUGCUGCUGUUGUUGUUCCCUGUCCUCCACCCUCCGCUGCCCCACCGCCACGCACCGCCAACCCAACACCGCCCCGCCAAAACUCCCCGCACGGCGACUUCGAGAGGCGGCGAAGAAGCCGGUCGGCAUCUCCCUGCGACGAGCCACCUGCCCCGGGGGGGGGCGUUGAAGUCCGUGAGACGGCUCCGCGACCCGCCGCCGCGUCCCCCCACCCGGGCUGCCGGCUGCCUGCGGAGCCGAAUGGAUCGGAAGCGCCACCGCCGCCGGCGGCCUCCUCCUCCUCCUCCAUCUCACACGGGUCGCUCUCAGAUUUCAGCCGCCCACCGUCCAGCCGGUUCAGCCGCAGCACCGACCUCGCCAGCGGCCGGAGCAGCGUCCUGUCCGGCGAUCUCGGAGACUCGGAGCCAGGAGGCGGCGUUUGCUCCUCACCGCUCCAGCCUCGCCCGGUGACGGGGUCACCCUCGGCUCCUCGCCCUCCGCCGGCAUCCCACCCUCGCCAACCAUCCGCCGAUGCUUCGGCCACCCCUCUCCUCUACGAACCGCUAUUUGGGCAAACCCGACCCCUCUCGCCGCCGUCGACGUCAGGUGGGCUUCGUCAAUCAGAUAACCCUCCGAGCAGGAGCGAAAGCCCCGAUGCGACAAAGUAUCUCCAACCAGUUCCAUCAGAAGCUCCUGGUCCCCACCCAUCCAUGGCCUCCGACCGCGGCCUCGUCGGCCUGGCUUUCCCCUCCGCCACCUGGUCCUCCUGCCCGAGUCCGCAGAGGACCACUCCCCGCUCCUCGGGGUCAGGACCGGCUCCGACCCCUCCUGCGUCGGCGCCCCGUCUGGAGUCUCGUCGCUGGUCCCCGCUGCCUCCCAUCUCCCCUGUCGGAGGACGCUGUGGCACCGCAGCAUCCCGCUACUCCGAGCUCAGCUGCACUCAGUCCCGCGCGUUCGAUGAGCUGGAGGCCAUCGCCCCUCGCUCGCUGUCCUCCCCGUCUCUGGACCGGCUGUCGGACUCCUCCGGGUGCCCUUCACCUGACACAGAGCUGUCUCCGGGCCUGGCGGCGCUGACGGUGGGCUGUGACUCCGGGACCCUGGGCUCUCUGUCCCGGGUGCAGCUGCUCCUCCUGGACCGGCCGCAGCCCGACACCCGGCCGGGUCUGUUCGGCCCGGAAGAGGAGCUCUCGCCGGUGCAAGACUGGCCUCGUCUCGCGAUGCAACAUGAAGGUUCCAGCGGAGGGGAAGGGGGCCCCGCCGAGGAGGAGGAGGAGGCCAAUUAUCCGGGAUGGGGGCAACAAGUCGAAUCCUCAGCCGCAGGACGGAGGCCCGCGAGCCUUGAUGGCAGAAGUGAGGAGAGGAAGCGGAGGAUGGAGGAGAGGAAAACAAAGGUGCUGAGCUUGCUCUCCAAGCUGCAGGACGACGGGCCGCGGCAGCCAAAGGGCCACCGGAGCUGCUCCAACUUCCAGGACUUUGACUUUUUGGCAAAGUAUUGCAUUUUCAGUCAGGAGAAGCUGGCCGAGUACAAAAGGGCUUUUGAAGCA
ensembl:lncRNA